rnacentral:misc_RNA from 1 species
ACACUAAUUACUACAAUGACUGACUCUAACAAAAAACAAUUUUCGAUUUUCGCGACGAACACAAUAGUGAAAUCGAUUUUCAAUUUUGACACUCGAUUUUUAAGUGGAGCACUAAAACAUGCAUGUGUGCAUACUUAUUUUGGGAAGAGUGACAGCUGCAUGUGUGGCACGGGGAGCUCGAUGCGGCUGCGGGAGGCAGUUAGGCUGCUCCUAGGGAGCCAAAUAGCAUAUGUAUAUGUAUGUGUGUGUGCACAAAUUAUGCAUGCACAGGUAUACCAGUUCACUAUCAUAAUCAGUAG